rnacentral:rRNA from 1 species
CAGCAGCCGCGGGAAUACGAAGGGUGCAAGCGUUAAUCGGAAUUACUGGGCGUAAAGCGUGCGUAGGCGGUGAGUUAAGUCUGCUGUGAAAUCCCCGGGCUCAACCUGGGAAUGGCAAUGGAUACUGGCAAGCUAGAGUGUGUCAGAGGAUGGUGGAAUUCCCGGUGUAGCGGUGAAAUGCGUAGAGAUGUGGAGGAACACCGAUGGCGAAGGCAGCCCCCUGGGCCAAUACUGACGCUCAUGCACGAAAGCGUGGGGAGCAAACAGGAUUAGAUACCCCCGUAGUCCCUGUCUCUUAUAC